rnacentral:rRNA from 1 species
UACGUAGGGUGCGAGCGUUGUUCGGAGUUACUGGGCGUAAAGGGUGUGUAGGCGGUUCUUUAAGUUUGGUGUGAAAUCUCCCGGCUCAACCGGGAGGGUGCGCCGAAUACUGAGGGACUAGAGUACGGGAGAGGAAAGUGGAAUUCCUGGUGUAGCGGUGAAAUGCGUAGAUAUCAGGAGGAACACCGGUGGUGGAGACGGCUUUCUGGGCCGUAACUGACGCUGAGACACGAAAGCGUGGGUAGCAAACAGG